rfam:Gossypium arboreum cultivar AKA8401 contig_26257_1, whole genome shotgun sequence.
UCUUAAAAAUUUCAUCCAUCUACUAUUAAAAACUAGCAUAGCUAAUAAAAUGAUCAAAUAGUAAUAUGUGGUGUGCCAUGUAUACCUUAUGCUGACAUACAUAGACCGAUUUUUAACUGUAGAUUUGAAAGAAAUUUUUAACA